rnacentral:rRNA from 1 species
AGCGAACGCUGGCGGCAGGCCUAACACAUGCAAGUCGAACGAACCUUUCGGGGUUAGUGGCGGACGGGGGAGUAACACGUGGGAACGUGCCUUUAGGUUCGGAAUAACUCAGGGAAACUUGUGCUAAUACCGAAUGUGCCCUUCGGGGGAAAGAUUUAUCGCCUUUAGAGCGGCCCGCGUCUGAUUAGCUAGUUGGUUGAGGUAAUGGCUCACCAAGGCGACGAUCAGUAGCUGGUCUGAGAGGAUGAUCAGCCACAUUGGGACUGAGACACGGCCCAAACUCCUACGGGAGGCAGCAGUGGGGAAUCUUGCGCAAUGGGCGAAAGCCUGACGCAGCCAUGCCGCGUGAAUGAUGAAGGUCUUAGGAUUGUAAAAUUCUUUAACCGGGGACGAUAAUGACGGUACCCGGAGAAGAAGCCCCGGCUAACUUCGUG